CAAUCAUCUGCCUUGACCUCUCAACGCACUGGGACUACAGGUAGAGUAUGGAAUAUUUGAUCAGCAAAAUUAACUGGCUCAUGAGUUUGAGAGGCAGUCCAACUGGGGCAUUAUCUCUUUGUUACAAAUGCCAGUUCUUUAUCUGAUCCAUUUACUAAGUUUUAGUUAAGGAGAACAUCAUUUUGGAGAAGAACGAGGACUUGAUUGAGGACCCAAAGGAUGACCAAGAAGAGGUGCAGGAGAAAACCCAGAAUUCUGCAGUGUCUUGGCGAUGCAAGUGUCAGAGGCAUUUGAACCAGAGCUACUCGAUCUUGAGUGAGGGCUAAGAAAAGUGAGGCUGGGACUUACUGGGCUGCAUUCCCAGGAUGGAUAUAAACUAUCUAAAGAGAGAGAACAUGCAAACUGGGAGGAGAGUAACUGAUGAAUAAAAUUUGAGGAAAAGAAAAAAGGGAUGAGAUGAAGAACUCAAAGGGAGGAAUGAGAGUACCUUUCUUUCUCAGAAAGAAGCGCCAAGAACAUGGAAGAGAGCAGAAACAUCGGGGAGUCUGAGGUGGAACACGCUGUGUAACCUGACAAGUUAUUUUCCCAUCAGCCUUUAAUUACAUAGUUAAAUUGGCUGUGGGAAUAGCAGCAAACUAUUUGAUUUUAGGUUGCCAGCUGGCUCUGGAAGACAUGCAUGUGUAUGGGGUGGAGAAAAUCCUUUUCCAGAUUCUUUUUUCCUUGUCUUUACUAGGCUGAAUAAGAAGAAUCAGUGGCCAUACUAUAUAUGUAAAAUGGGCUUUGGGAACUGCAAAGGCCUUUACAGAUGUGGUUACUGUUAUUUUACUUUGUGCAUGAUUCUAAAGGAGGUAUGCACCGUCUGAAGCGCCAGGAAGGAGCAUCUGGGUGGAUGUCCAUGAUGGCUCCAAAGGGACUUCGGCAUUUUUCCUCAGAGACAGUGAGUUCAGAUUUACACAGUAUUUGUUUUUUAUCACAGGCUUUGAAAUGACUAAGCAUUAAAUUCACAUAACCCUGCUGUGAAACACAUUAUAAUAAUGUUAUUAUAACCCCAUUUUCUGUUGAAAGAUAGAAAUAAGAUUUGUUCCAGACUAAACAGGAAGUCAGUAAUAAGAUUAAAGUUACUGGUUAAUCUAGGCUUUCUGAUUGUGCAUACAUUACAUCUUUUAAACACAUAAGGUUCAGGAUGACAACUACCAGCAGCAUGAUUGGUGUUCUUUUCUAUUCCCUCCCUCUCCCCUUACCCCCACAGUAGUGUAGACAACCAAGGUGAUAUAGUUUGGAUUCAUGCCCCCCCACCCCAAUCUCAUGUUGAAUUGUAACCCCCAGUGUUGGAGGA